rnacentral:tRNA from 1 species
GGCGGUGUAGCUCAAGUGGUUAGAGCGCGCGGCUCAUAACCGCGAGGUUCAGGGUUCGACUCCCUGCACCGCCA